ensembl:lncRNA
UACAGGUGCAGGGAAUAAUACGGCAAACAUAGAAAAAUGAAUAACUGAAACUUAUAAAACAUUAAUAUCUAUUUAUUUUAUUUUAUUUUAUUUAUUUAUUUUUCUCCACAGAUUCAAUGUUUGACCUCUAGCUGGUUGUUGCAUUUUUUUUUUUUAUUUUUUUUUUUCAAAUCAGAGUAUUGAUAUUUAUUUAUUUAUAUUACUGUUCACUUGCUGCAUUAUCUGUACCCAAAAUCAGUAGUCAUUAGCUGGUUGGUCCCGUGAAAAUAUCCAUAUGGAGAAAUAUACAAAAUGGGGUGUUUUUGGACUGAAUCCUCAUGCUGGUAUCUUGAGAUGUUGAGAUUCUUACCUCACCGUCCUCCCACUGCAAACAACAAACACUAUCCAGAGCUCAAAUGCAGUUUUAUACAGUUUCAACUAUGUCUGUGUAUGUGGAAACC